UGCUUUAGUGAUGUCCAGCGGCAGAAUAACAGCUCGUUAAUUCAUGCUUGUGCAGUUGAUGAGACGGAGAAAAGUAAUUAAUGUAUGCACUUCUUUUACUUAUUUUUAUGUUGUCAGGUUCACAGUGCAAACAGCUCCCGGUGGGAAUAACUUGAGUGAACAUAAAACAAAGCCGAAGCUCUGCUUGAGCAGCACUGCACACAGCGAGCUCACAUCAUCCAGCUUGCGUGUCGAACUACACUACCCACAAUACACUUCGCUAUGGACUACAACUCCCUUAAAUAUUCUAUUUCCCCUCCUGAAACACUAGCGUGCAAAUUAAGCUAAACUGAUACUAAAAUUGUUUUACAUUUGGUUUUGUAGUUCGGGCCAAAAUAAUGUUUGUUGCCGUUUUUAAUCGUUUAGGUUCAUUUGAUCGUGUAACCCUCGAUACACAAAUGUAUUAUAAGCUGUUAAUCAAUUGACCAUAUGCUCAGAAGUCUAAAUUUCUCCAAAGAGAGAGAAGAUACAACAACAGUGAAGGACUCGGACACAGAGGGUUUUUGGCUGUAUCACUAAUAAGGUGUAUCCAAAGAAUCCACUUAAUGGGAGGCUCGCCAGUCCAACUCCACAAUUAGACACGCACCGAUGGAAGUUGAGACAAUCCAAAUCCAGAAAAGAGUUCACACUUCAAUUAAUUUGAAUCCAGAGCAAAUCACAUUUAGCAACUGACUUCAAUAGAACAUCUCACCGAUGAAAAACCAGAAGAAGAUGCACAAGCAAACAAA